AGUGAACGCUGGCGGUAGGCCUAACACAUGCCAGUCGAACGGCAGCACAGUAAGAGCUUGCUCUUACGGGUGGCGAGUGGCGGACGGGUGAGGAAUACAUCGGAAUCUACUUUUUCGUGGGGGAUAACGUAGGGAAACUUACGCUAAUACCGCAUACGACCUACGGGUGAAAGCAGUGGCUCUUCGGACCUUGCGCGAUUGAAUGAGCCGAUGUCGGAUUAGCUAGUUGGCGGGGUAAAGGCCCACCAAGGCGACGAUCCGUAGCUGGUCUGAGAGGAUGAUCAGCCACACUGGGACUGAAAGACGGUCCAGACUCCUACUGGAGGCAGCAGUGGGGAAUAUUGGACAAUGGGCGCAAGCCUGAUCCAGCCAUACCGCGUGGGUGAAGAAGGCCUUCGGGUUUUAAAGCCCCAUUGUUGGGAAAGAAAAGCAGCAGGUUAAUACCCCGCUGUUCUGACGGUACCCAAAGAAUAAGCACCGGCUAACUUCGUG
rnacentral:rRNA from 1 species